UGUUAAUGAGGUCUAAUCCUCUCUACAUCCCCCAUGUUGCUGUAAGGACUGUGUUAAUGAGGUAUACUCCUCUCUACAUCCCCCAUGUUGCUGUAAGGACUGUGUUAAUGAGGUCUAAUCCUCUCUACAUCCCCCAUGUUUCUGUAAGGACUGUGUUAAUGAGGUAUCCUCCUCCGUGUUGCUGUAAGGACUGUGUUAAUGAGGUAUCCUCCUCCAUGUUGCUGUAAGGACUGUGUUAAUGAGGUAUCCUCCUCCAUGUUGCUGUAAGGACUGUGUUAAUGAGGUAUCCUCCUCCAUGUUG